rnacentral:rRNA from 1 species
AUUGAACGCUGGCGGCAGGCCUAUCACAUGCAAGUCGAACGAGUGGCGGAUGGGUGAGUAAUGUCUGGGAAACUGCCUGUUGGAGGGGGUUAACUACUGGAAACGGUUGCUAAUACCGCAUAUCAUCGGAUGUUCCUAGAUUUGAUUAGUUAGUAGGUGGGGUAAAGGCUCACCUAGGCGACGAUCGCUAGCUGGUCUGAGAGGAUGAACAGCCACACGGGAACUGAGACACGGUCCAGACUCCUACAGGAGGCAGAAGUGGGGAAUAUUGCGCGCAGGGCGCAGGCCUGAUGCAGCCAUGCAGCGUGUAUGAAGAAGGCCUUCGGGUUGUAAAGUACUUGCAGCGAGGAGGAGUUACCCGCAGAAGAAGCAAAGGCUAACUCCGUGCCAGCAGCCGCGGUAAUUC